rnacentral:rRNA from 1 species
UGGUGGAGCGAUUUGUCUGGUUAAUUCCGAUAACGAACGAGACUCUAGCCUAUUAAAUAGUUCGCCGAUUUUUCGAGUCGGCGUCAACUUCUUAGAGGGACAAGUGUCGAAUAGGCACGCGAGAUUGAGCAAUAACA